CCCGGCUGCCGCAUUUCCAAUGCAGGGGAGCGGCGAGGCUCCGGGCUGGCCAUCUGCACGCGGAGAUUGACAGCAGUCCCGGAAGAAAAGGAGACAUUGCAGAGAAUCAACCUGUGCCUGCAGCUAGGGAUUCGUUAAUUACUUUGUUCCCUCUUUUCCUCCCUCCCUCCCUUCCUCCUUUCCUUUCGCUAACAUUUUGAUGGAUACCUCAUGUGUGCUGGAGAUCAGGCGGUGGACCAGGGAUACAAGAAACGAGACUCCUAGCCCUUGAGAUGCUCUUCAUGUGGGGUCAUUACUUAGGGAUCAGCAAUUUGCUAAAGAUGAACAGAUUCUAAGAAGAUGGUUUUCCAGCAGCAACCAAUUUUAAAUCUGGACUGUGCACCAGGCACCUCUUGGAUGGACAGCCCUGAAACAUCUUUCAUGCAACUCCUCAGGCAGCCCAGAAACAGCCAGGAACCAUUCGCCAGGAGCUGUGGCCAACUUAAUAACUCAUCCUUGUAUUGGUUUCCAUCCUCUGUCCUUCAUCCGUCUUGUCUUUUACUCCUACUUGCUGGAUCACACAUCCCAAUAAAUUUUUGCACUCAA